AGAAGCGAAGAAGGGCGCUUGGAGGAUGCCUAGGCGACAAGAGCCGAAGAAGGGCGCGGUACACUGCGAAAAGCCUCGGUAAGCCGUGUGCAGGCGGAGAGCCGGGGGUACCCGAAUGGGGAAACCUCCCUGGAGGGGUCCAGGGACCCAGCACUGAACACAUAGGUGCUGAGGAGGGCACGCGGGGAACUGAAACAUCUUAGUACCCGCAGGAAAAGAGAAGAUUCCCUGAGUAGUGGCGAGCGAAAGGGGAGUAGCCCAAACCCGACCUGUGGAAGAGCCUGUCAGCGUUGCAGGUUGGGGGUAGGAGGAGCUGGGGGUGAUGUGACAGCAUCACACAGGAGUCAGAAAGGGAACGGCUAGUUGAACGACACUGGAAAGGUCGGCCAGAGACGGUGACAGCCCGGUAGGCGAAAGCGGUUUCCCUCCUGCCAGGAUCCUGAGUACCACGGGGCACGAGGAACCCAGUGGGAAGCAGGGCCGACCACGGCCCAAGGCUAAAUACUCUUGACGACCGAUAGUGAACCAGUACCGUGAGGGAAAGGUGAAAAGAACCCCGGUGAGGGGAGUGAAAGAGAAUCUGAAACCAAGCGUCUACAAGCGGUCAGAGCACAAUCCGCUCAAUGGCGGAAGUGCGAUGGCGUGCCUUUUGGAGAAUGAACCAGCGAGUUACUCUUGGUUGCGAGGUUAAGGCAGAGAUAGCCGGAGCCGCAGGGAAACCGAGUCUGAAGAGGGCGUAGGGCGCAGGGAUGCGCUCGUAGUAGCCAGGAGUAGACACGAAACCAGGUGAGCUACCCAUGUCCAGGCUGAAGCGGGGCUAAACCCUCGUGGAGGGCCGAACCUUUCUCUAUUGCAAAAGGGUGGGAUGAGAUGUGGGUAGGGGUGAUAUGCCAAACGAACCUGGAGAUAGCUUGUUCUCCCCGAAAUAGCUUUAGGGCUAGCCUCGCGGGAUGAAAGGUGGAGGUAGAGCACUGGAUGGGCUAGGGGGCGCAAGCCUACCGAACCCAACCAAACUCCGAAUGCCAACUUUAGGGAACGCGGGAGUCGGACGGCGAAUGAUGAGAUCCGUCGUCGAGAGGGAAAGAGCCCAGACCGUCGGCUAAGGUCCCGAAGUCUCAGCUAAGUGGGAAACGCUGUGGGAUCGCCCAGACAGCCAGGAGGUUGGCUUAGAAGCAGCCACCCUUUAAAGAGUGCGUAAUAGCUCACUGGUCGAGGGGUCCUGCGCGGAAAAUGUAACGGGGCUAAAGCUGAGCACCGAAGCCGCGGGGGUGCAUCGUAGAUGCGCCUGGUAGGGGAGCGUUGUGUACGCGAAGAAGCUGUACCGGAAGGAGCAGUGGAGUGUACAGAAGUGAGAAUGCUGGUAUGAGUAGCGAACAAUAUGUGAGAACCAUAUUCACCGCAAGCCCAAGGAUUCCGACGGAAGGUCAGUCCGCGUCGGGUUAGUCGGGCCUAAGCCGAGGCCGGCAGGCGUAGGCGAUGGACAUCCGGUUAAUAUUCCGGAACCACGGCGUCAGAGUGAAGGGGUGACACAACGCGGGAAGUCAACCUGGCGGAUGGCAGGGCCAGGCCAAACGUGUAGGCCGGAGAAGGGGGUAGGGAAAGCCGCUCCUGGAGGUCGAGGCGUGAAGGGGAGCCGCAAGGCGGAAGUGGCUGUACCGGGUUGUCAAGAAAAGCCUCUAAGCGAUGAAGACGACGUGCCCGUACCGCAAACCGACACAGGUGGGUGGGUAGAGUAUACCAAGGUGAACGAGGGAACCUUCGUCAAGGAAUUAGGCAAGUUAACCCCGUAACUUCGGGAGAAGGGGUGCCCCCUGGUGUGAAGGAUGGACAUUUGGAGCAUUGGGGGGUCGCAGUGAAAGGGCUCUAGCGACUGGUUACCAAAACCACAGGUCUCUGCGAACGCGCAAGCGGCAGUAUAGGGGCUGACACCUGCCCAGUGCCGGAAGGUUAAGGGGAGAGGUCAGGACGCAGGAGACUGCGUUCAAAGCUUUGAACCGAAGCCCCGGUGAACGGCGGCCGUAACUAUAACGGUCCUAAGGUAGCGAAAUUCCUUGUCGGGUAAGUUCCGACCCGCACGAAUGGUGUAACGACUAGAGCACUGUCUCGACGAAGGACUCGGCGAAAUUGAAGACGCGGUAAAGAUACCGUGUACCCGCAGCAGGACAAAAAGACCCCGUGGAGCUUUACUGCAACUUGGCACUGCGUUAGGGUGUAGUUUGUGUAGGAUAGGUGGGAGGCGCAGAAGCCGGGACGCCAGUCUCGGUGGAGCCGUUGGUGAAAUACCACCCUGACUAGACUUUGACGCUAACGCUCCGCCGUGAACCGGCGAGUGGACCGUGCCAGGCGGGCAGUUUGACUGGGGUGGUCGCCUCCCAAAAGGUAACGGAGGCGCCCAAAGGUUCCCUCAGGUGGAAUGGAAACCCACCGGAGAGUGCAAAGGCAGAAGGGAGCUUGACUGUAAGGCUGGCAAGCCGCACAGAGACGCAAGUCGGGCUUAGUCAUCCCACGGUACCGAGUGGAAGGGCCGUGGCUAUCGGAUAAAAGCUACCCCGGGGAUAACAGGGUGGUAGGGCCCAAGAGUUCACAUCGACGGCCCUGGUCGCCACCUCGAUGUCGGCUCAGCACAUCCUGGGGCUGGACAAGGUCCCAAGGGUUGGACUGUUCGUCCAUUAAAGUGUUACGCGAGCUGGGUUCAGACCGUCGUGAGACAGGUCGGUCUCUAUCCGCUGUGGGCGAAGGGGACUUGAGGGGAGUUGCCCUCAGUACGAGAGGACCAGGGUGAACGGACCGCUGGUGUGUCAGUUGUCUCGCCAGAGGCAGCGCUGAGUAGCCAGGUCCGGCAGGGAUAACCGCUGAAAGCAUCUAAGUGGGAAACCCGCCCCAAGAUGAGGUCCCCCAUCCCUGAAAGGGAGUAAGGCCGCUGGAAGACGACCAGUUAGAUAGGCGGGAGGUGUAAGCGCCGCAAGGUGUGCAGCCAACCCGUACUAAAGGCCGAGGGCUUCUGC
rnacentral:rRNA from 1 species